GGGGGGGGUCAAGCGUUUGUUCGGAAUUACUGGGCGUAAAGGGCGUGUAGGCGGUCCCGCAAGUCUUUCGUGAAAUCCCACAGCUCAACUGUGGAACUGCGAGGGAAACUGCAGGACCUGAGUCCGGGAGAGGAGAGUGGAAUUCCCAGUGUAGCGGUGAAAUGCGUAGAUAUUGGGAGGAACACCGGUGGCGAAGGCGGCUCUCUGGACCGGUACUGACGCUGAGGCGCGAAAGCUAGGGGAGCAAACGGGAUUAGAUACCCCGGGUAGCCCUAGCCUUAAACGAUGAGCACUUGGUGUGGCGGGUAUCGACCCCCUGCCCGUGCCGAAGCUAACGCAUUAAGUGCUCCGCCUGGGGAGUACGGUCGCAAGGCUG
rnacentral:rRNA from 1 species